UACGUAGGUGGCGAGCGUUGUCCGGAUUUACUGGGCGUAAAGCGCGUGUAGGCGGUUGCCCAAGUCGGGUGUGAAAGCCUUGAGCUCAACUCAAGAAAUGCACUCGGUACUGGGUGACUAGAGGACCGGAGAGGAUAGUGGAAUUCCCAGUGUAGUGGUGAAAUACGUAGAGAUUGGGAAGAACACCAGUGGCGAAGGCGGCUAUCUGGGACGGUU
rnacentral:rRNA from 1 species